UACAGAGGGUGCGAGCGUUGUUCGGAAUUACUGGGCGUAAAGCGCGCGCAGGCGGCCCUUUAAGUCCGCUGGUCAAAGACCGGGGCUCAACCCCGCGUCAGCCAGGGAUACUGGAGGGCUGGAGACAAGUAGAGGCAAGCGGAAUUCCGGGUGUAGCGGUGGAAUGCGUAGAGAUCCGGAAGAACACCGGAGGCGAAGGCGGCUUGCUGGGCUUGGUCUGACGCUGAGGCGCGAAAGCGUGGGGAGCGAACAGG
rnacentral:rRNA from 1 species